rnacentral:rRNA from 1 species
CCUACGGGGGGCAGCAGUGAGGAAUAUUGGUCAAUGGACGAGAGUCUGAACCAGCCAAGUAGCGUGAAGGGUGACUGCCCUAUGGGUUGUAAACUUCUUUUAUAUGGGAAUAAAACGUUCCACGUGUGGGAUUUUGUAUGUACCAUAUGAAUAAGGAUCGGCUAACUCCGUGCCAGCAGCCGCGGUAAUACGGAGGAUCCGAGCGUUAUCCGGAUUUAUUGGGUUUAAAGGGAGCGUAGGUGGAUUGUUAAGUCAGUUGUGAAAGUUUGCGGCUCAACCGUAAAAUUGCAGUUGAAACUGGCAGUCUUGAGUACAGUAGAGGUGGGCGGAAUUCGUGGUGUAGCGGUGAAAUGCUUAGAUAUCACGAAGAACUCCGAUUGCGAAGGCAGUUCACUGGACUGCAACUGACACUGAGGCUCGAAAGUGUGGGUAUCAAACAGGAUUAGAUACCCGAGUAGUC